AGUUUGAUCAUGGCUCAGAACGACGCUGGCGGCAUGCCUAACACAUGCAAGUCGAACGAACCCUUCGGGGUUAGUGGCGCACGGGUGCGUAACGCGUGGGAAUCUGCCCUUUGCUUCGGAAUAACAGUUAGAAAUGACUGCUAAUACCGGAUGAUGUCUUCGGACCAAAGAUUUAUCGGCAAAGGAUGAGCCCGCGUAGGAUUAGGUAGUUGGUGGGGUAAAGGCCUACCAAGCCGACGAUCCUUAGCUGGUCUGAGAGGAUGAUCAGCCACACUGGGACUGAGACACGGCCCAGACUCCUACGGGAGGCAGCAGUGGGGAAUAUUGGACAAUGGGCGAAAGCCUGAUCCAGCAAUGCCGCGUGAGUGAUGAAGGCCUUAGGGUUGUAAAGCUCUUUUACCAGGGAUGAUAAUGACAGUACCUGGAGAAUAAGCUCCGGCUAACUCCGUG
rnacentral:rRNA from 1 species